CCUACGGGAGGCAGCAGUGGGGAAUAUUGGGCAAUGGAGGCAACUCUGACCCAGCAACGCCGCGUGAAUGAUGAAGGUCUUCGGAUUGUACAGUUCUGUGAUGGGGGGUGAACACAAUGACGGUACCCCAAUAGCAAGCCACGGCUAACUACGUGCCAGCAGCCGCGGUAAUACGUCGGUGGCAAGCGUUAUCAGGACUGACUGGGCGUAAGGGGUGCGUAGGUGGUUUAGUAAGUUGGCGGUGUAAUUCCGGGGAUCAACCACGGCGCUACCGCACAAACUAGUAGACUAGAGUGCAGGAGGGGUAAGUGGAAUUCCUAGUGUAGCGGUGGAAUGCGUAGAUAUUAGGAGGAACAUCAGGGGCGAAGGCGACUUACUGGACUGUAACUGACACUGAGGCACGAAAGCGUGGGGAGCAAACAGGAUUAGAUACCCUUGUAGUC
rnacentral:rRNA from 1 species